GGUGGCAAAGCCUGUGGAGUACUCACCUACCUGCUGCAUGAAGGCAGCAUGGAGGGACUGUGGUGGAUUAUCUGCAAAGAUGGCCAAAAUUCUCUCAUCCCUGCAGGCACAUACAAGAUGCCAGAAUCAGUCAAAACUAAGCUCACUGUCCUUGCUAAUAUUCUGCCCCAGAGAAGAACUGAAGCUCAGCUAUUCACCCUACAGAAAGCCUGAAUUUUGUAAAAGUUCUGCUUAGAAUGAGGAAGAAAGAUGAAGAAUGAGGAGGAAGAAGGGAGGAACAAGAGAGAGAGGUUGUUGCAUGGCAUAAGUAAAAUGACAGCCAAAGGAUACAUGCAACUUUUCAGGGACAAAGAUCUGUGCAGCAUCGACAGUACUGCCUAAUGAGGUUUCACCAUAAUGAAGUAUUACAACCAGUUUACAGACCAGAAAACUGAGACACAGGAAGGGGUGGUGACUUGAGCAAGGUGCAUCAGCUGGAAAUUGAGGUAUACGGAAUGCUUAUUUGGUUUACUCAGUAUCAUCCUAAAUGUAUGUACCAAUGCUUAGGAGUUUGCAGUUCACCCGCAAACCUCAGCGAUCCAAGCUCCCCUGGAUGACCAUCACUCACCAAGAAAAGAACAAUAACAGGACCUGUUUUGCUAAUCCAGGACUGUUCUCCAGCACUAACUCUAAAUAAUCCCUUCUGCUAGAGUCCACUUUCUGGAACCUGUUGCCUCCGUUUUCAACGUUUCCCAAACUUGGUCCGUUGUGUGAGCUGGCUGAUAAAAGUUCCAGGGAGAGGACAUCUUACUCUUAUUGGAUCAUGCACAGUGCCUGAAGCAUUCUGUUGCAUGUAGAAAUCAGUAAAUUGCAGAUGUAAGAUUCAAAACCAGACUU
rnacentral:lncRNA from 1 species